GAUGAACGCUGGCGGCGUGCCUAAUACAUGCAAGUCGAGCGAACGGACGAGAAGCUUGCUUCUCUGAUGUUAGCGGCGGACGGGUGAGUAACACGUGGAUAACCUACCUAUAAGACUGGGAUAACUUCGGGAAACCGGAGCUAAUACCGGAUAAUAUUUUGAACCGCAUGGUUCAAAAGUGAAAGACGGUCUUGCUGUCACUUAUAGAUGGAUCCGCGCUGCAUUAGCUAGUUGGUAAGGUAACGGCUUACCAAGGCAACGAUGCAUAGCCGACCUGAGAGGGUGAUCGGCCACACUGGAACUGAGACACGGUCCAGACUCCUACGGGAGGCAGCAGUAGGGAAUCUUCCGCAAUGGGCGAAAGCCUGACGGAGCAACGCCGCGUGAGUGAUGAAGGUCUUCGGAUCGUAAAACUCUGUUAUUAGGGAAGAACAUAUGUGUAAGUAACUGUGCACAUCUUGACGGUACCUAAUCAGAAAGCCACGGCUAACUACGUGCCAGCAGCCGCGGUAAUACGUAGGUGGCAAGCGUUAUCCGGAAUUAUUGGGCGUAAAGCGCGCGUAGGCGGUUUUUUAAGUCUGAUGUGAAAGCCCACGGCUCAACCGUGGAGGGUCAUUGGAAACUGGAAAACUUGAGUGCAGAAGAGGAAAGUGGAAUUCCAUGUGUAGCGGUGAAAUGCGCAGAGAUAUGGAGGAACACCAGUGGCGAAGGCGACUUUCUGGUCUGUAACUGACGCUGAUGUGCGAAAGCGUGGGGAUCAAACAGGAUUAGAUGCCCUGGUAGUCCACGCCGUAAACGAUGAGUGCUAAGUGUUAGGGGGUUUCCGCCCCUUAGUGCUGCAGCUAACGCAUUAAGCACUCCGCCUGGGGAGUACGACCGCAAGGUUGAAACUCAAAGGAAUUGACGGGGACCCGCACAAGCGGUGGAGCAUGUGGUUUAAUUCGAAGCAACGCGAAGAACCUUACCAAAUCUUGACAUCCUUUGACAACUCUAGAGAUAGAGCCUUCCCCUUCGGGGGACAAAGUGACAGGUGGUGCAUGGUUGUCGCCAGCUCGUGUCGUGAGAUGUUGGGUUAAGUCCCGCAACGAGCGCAACCCUUAAGCUUAGUUGCCAUCAUUAAGUUGGGCACUCUAAGUUGACUGCCGGUGACAAACCGGAGGAAGGUGGGGAUGACGUCAAAUCAUCAUGCCCCUUAUGAUUUGGGCUACACACGUGCUACAAUGGACAAUACAAAGGGCAGCGAAACCGCGAGGUCAAGCAAAUCCCAUAAAGUUGUUCUCAGUUCGGAUUGUAGUCUGCAACUCGACUACAUGAAGCUGGAAUGGCUAGUAAUCGUAGAUCAGCAUGCUACGGUGAAUACGUUCCCGGGUCU
rnacentral:rRNA from 1 species